UGUGCGCGCCCUCCCCCAGCCGCCCGCCGCGGCCCCGCGCGCGCGCACUGAGCGCCGCCGCCGCCUCCCCGGCUGCUGCUCCGGCUGCUGCAGGAGGCGGCGCUGGCUGGCGGCGGCGCUCGCUCCAGUCGGCGAGCGGAGCAGCGAGCGAGCGUGUGUGUUUUAAAGAUGGCCGGAGCGGUGGCGGCGGUGGCCGCGGGAGCAGCAGCGGGAGCCGCCGCAGCAGCCGUGUCGGUGGCGGCUCCUGGCCGGGCCUCGGCGCCCCCGCCGCCCCCGCCGGUGUACUGUGUGUGCCGGCAGCCGUACGACGUGAACCGCUUCAUGAUCGAGUGCGAUAUCUGCAAGGACUGGUUCCACGGCAGCUGUGUUGGAGUAGAAGAACAUCAUGCUGUUGACAUUGACCUGUAUCACUGUCCCAACUGUGCAGUUCUACAUGGAUCCUCCUUGAUGAAAAAGAGAAGGAACUGGCACAGGCAUGACUACACCGAAAUUGAUGAUGGUUCCAAACCAGUGCAAGCUGGAACUAGGACUUUUGUGAAGGAACUACGUUCUCGAGUCUUCCCAAGUGCCGAUGAGAUCAUUGUGAAGAUGCACGGCAGCCAGCUGACACAGAGAUAUCUGGAGAAACAUGGAUUUGAGGUCCCUAUUAUGGUCCCCAAGUUAGAUGACCUAGGACUCAGGCUCCCUGCAGCUACGUUUUCUGUUAUGGAUGUGGAACGUCAUGUAGGUGGUGACAAAGUGAUAGAUGUCAUUGAUGUGGCAAGGCAGGCAGACAGCAAAAUGACACUUCACAAUUAUGUUAAAUACUUCAUGAACCCUAACAGACCAAAAGUGUUAAAUGUGAUCAGCCUUGAAUUUUCAGAUACAAAGAUGUCUGAAUUGGUGGAGGUCCCUGACAUAGCCAGAAAACUUUCCUGGGUGGAAAAUUAUUGGCCAGAUGAUUCAGUCUUUCCCAAGCCAUUUGUUCAGAAAUACUGCUUAAUGGGAGUUCAAGACAGCUACACAGAUUUCCACAUUGACUUUGGUGGAACUUCAGUUUGGUACCAUGUCCUCUGGGGUGAGAAGAUUUUUUAUUUAAUAAAGCCAACAGAUGAAAAUUUGGCACUCUAUGAGUCUUGGAGUUCAUCUGUGACCCAGAGUGAAGUGUUCUUUGGAGAUAAGGUGGAUAAAUGCUACAAAUGUGUGGUAAAGCAGGGACAUACCUUAUUUGUUCCUACAGGGUGGAUUCAUGCUGUGCUCACUUCUCAGGAUUGUAUGGCUUUUGGGGGGAACUUUCUGCACAACCUUAACAUUGGCAUGCAGCUCAGGUGUUAUGAGAUGGAAAAAAGGCUAAAAACACCAGAUCUCUUCAAAUUCCCUUUCUUUGAAGCCAUAUGUUGGUUUGUAGCCAAAAACUUGCUGGAAACCCUGAAAGAACUGAAAGAAGAUGGUUUUCAGCCUCAGACUUACCUAGUACAGGGCGUGAAAGCACUGCAUACUGCUUUAAAAUUGUGGAUGAAAAAAGAACUUGUAUCCGAACAUGCCUUUGAAAUUCCAGACAACGUUAGACCUGGACAUCUUAUUAAAGAACUUUCUAAAGUAAUUCGAGCAAUAGAGGAGGAAAACAGCAAGCCAGUUAAAUCUCAGGGAAUUCCUACAGUGUGUCCAGCUUCACGAUCCUCAAAUGAAGCAACUUCCCCAUACCAUUCCCGACGAAGGAUGAGGAAACUUCGAGAUCAUAAUGUCCGGACUCCUUCUAACCUAGACAUCCUAGAGCUCCACACAAGGGAGGUCCUCAGAAGAUUAGAGAUGUGUCCUUGGGAAGAGGACAUCUUGAGCUCUAAACUGAAUGGUAAAUUCAACAAACAUCUCCAGCCAUCUUCUACCGUACCCGAAUGGAGAGCAAAAGAUAAUGAUCUACGAUUACUGCUGACAAAUGGAAGGAUAAUUAAAGAUGAAAGACACCCCUUCGCAGAUCAGAGUCUUUAUACAGUAGACAGUGAAAAUGAAGAGGAUAAGAGAAGGACAAAAAAGGCAAAAGUGAAGAUAGAAGAGAGUUCAGGAAUAGAGGCAGUGGAGAAUGAAGAAUCUCAGAAACCCCUUAACAGGUUUUUUACAAGUGUGAAGUCAGAACUCAGGAAUCGAUCAUCAGAAUAUUCUGACAUUUCUGAUUCGGAAGACUCUGGACCUGACUGCACUGCUCUGAAAAAUAAUUUUACCACUGAAGAGUCUGAAAGUUCAGGUGAUGAAAAGAAACAAAAGAUAACAUCAAACUUCAAGGAGGAAUCUAAUGUGAUGAGGAACUUUCUUCAAAAGAGCCAGAAAACAUCUAGAAGUGAAAUUCCAGUUAAAAGGGAAUGUCCUACCUCGACGAGCACAGAGGAAGAAGCGAUUCAGGGCAUGCUCUCUAUGGCAGGGUUGCACUAUUCCACAUGUUUACAAAGGCAGGUACAAAGCACAGGCUGCAGCAGUGAAAGAAACUCUCUCCAGGAUCCCAGCAGCUGUCACAGCAGUAACCACGAGGUUAGGCAGCUGUACCGCUAUGAUAAACCAGUGGAAUAUGGGUACCAUGUCAAGACUGAAGAUCAGGACUUGAGGCGUUCCUCUUGGGUUAAACAAUUUGAUACAACUUCCAGAUUUAAUCUUCAGAAAACGACAGCCAAAGAAAGAAUCAAAAUUUUCAUGUGGCGGAUUGGGGUCCCUAAACCUCCUAGACUCCAAACAUACUCGAUCCAAGUAGAGGCCAUAAAUAUAUCAAAAAGGAAGGUUCAUCAGAAAUCAGUCAAAAGGUACACAGUAGGAAUUCUGUGGACAGCAGUGGCUCCAGCCCUCAGAAUGGAAAGUACAUGCAGAAUUCAAGCUUGGUUUCAGGGGCAUGCCAGAUAAGUAAUGGCAGUGUAAGCCCAGAAAGGCCAGUUGGUGAAACUUCCUUUUCAGUGCCCCUUCACCCCACCAAGAGACCUGCAUCAAACCCACCACCUAUCAGCAACCAGGCAACAAAAGGUAAACGUCCAAAAAAGGGAAUGGCAACAGCCAAACAACGCCUUGGGAAGAUCCUUAAGUUGAACAGAAAUGGCCAUGCACGUUUCUUUGUGUGACGGAGCUGCUGUUGGGAUCACUCUUCCCUUUGGAGACCAGUCUCGGGGGUGUGGGAGCCUGGAGCUUCCGCCAUGCAUGUCCAGUAGAGAACACUGCCUGGAGAACAAAAUGAACCUGAUGCUGCAUUUUCACUGUGCCACACCCACUCAGCAAUAACCAUUUUGGACCUGGUGGGGGAGAGGAAGAAGGAGGGUAGAACCUUAAAAGGAGACCUUGAACUGAAAAGGGUCUCUUGUCAGGGCUUGAAUUUCAUUUUGUUGUUGGUAGUGUCUUGAUUUAUUUUCAGUGGUAAAGAAUUAUCAAUAAUUUAUUUAACAGAUUUUUUUAAAAGUUAACAGCUUUUAAAUUCUUUCUUUUUUAAAGCUAUUUAUUUGGAAGAUUUCUGGAGAAAUAUCUCACUAAUUUAGAUUUAAGAAUGUGAAGGUUUUUAAAUUAUUUUUGAUAGUGUGUGUGUUACAUGUGGGGAAGAGCCACAGUAACAGUAACUAGUCUGGACUCUUAAAUUUGAUAUUCAGGUUAAAGUCUUAAACAGGGAUUUGAUGCAUUAAUUAUUUUAAAUUAAGAUGUAUAUGGAAAUCAUUUUAUUUUAUAUAUUUCAUGUUUUUUAUAAGCUAUUAGCUUCGCUUUUGCUAACAUCCAAGGUGCAUACUGUUAUCCAGGUUGAUGACCUUAUAUCCCACCUUCCCCCUCUGCACUUCCAGCUUUUGUGAUGAUACAAGACUCUUCUCUUUGCAGGGAAACACUUUCAUAGCCGAUGUGUUAGACCUACAUAUAAAAGACCCCAACAUUUCUCAUUUAGUUUGACAUUGCAAUUUUUUCCUAAAUAUAACAAAGGCUUCUUGCAUUUUCAUUUUUGCUGAUGACCUGGGUUCCAAAGAGAACAGCUUUAAUAUCUUUUUCCUAUUUGUGGAAAAAGUAUUAUAAGUUUGAUUAAAUUGUCAUAUUUCUAGUUUUUCAAAUGCAUUUGUAACUACAGAGGGCCUUCUUCAUAUUGCUGGUAUUAGAGGGCAGGACCAACACCUGCCACAAAGGUUAUAUUUUAUGACACUUUUAUUCUGUGUACCUAAUUUGUUGGGAAAUAAGAUUUGACUUAGUUGUUCAACUCUUCAUAAUAAGCCGUAAUAUAAUAGGACUAUACUAUAUUAAUUGUGUAGAAGCAAGCAUGUUGGAGUAGACCUUUUGCAGGGAUGUGUGUGUGUGUGUGUGUGUGUGUGUGUGUGUGUGUGUGUGUGUGUUUAGUUUUUUAUUUCUUAACCUUCUAAAGAAUUAUUUAAGACAUGGAUUUGAAGUAAAAUGGGUGCUUCUUGUAGUUUCUUCCAUCUAUCCUAACUUAGCCAGUGCAUAUUGAGGUUAAGUAUCUGAGUGAGCUUUAAAGUAAUCAUAUAUCUCUUUUAUGCACAAUUUUUACUAAAUGCCAGCUAAUAAUAGCUAAUAUUUCCCCCUACCCCCCAUGGCUUAAAAAUAAGUAUUUUCAAGGCUGGGGUGAGGUGGGGUGGAGAUAUUUCCAUUGCUGACAGGAGAGCAUUAUACAAGUUCCUACAAAGAAAAUAUAGGCAAAUAAGAUCAAAUUUAUUUUUAUGAAGAAGAAAUAUGGCCAUAUUAUGGAUAUCCUUUUAUUUACUGAGCCAAGGUAGCAGAACUUUCCCUUCUAUAUUAAGUAUCAUGUGCAGUGCUAAGAAAAAGAAAUCCAUACCAUCCUCCUCCAUGGUUGCAUUCAAAUGUGUAUUUUCAAAGAGAGAGGUUUCUUACUCUGCCUUCAUUCCAGUAUUUCAUGGAAUAAAUAUGAAGUAGCUUAUGAAUUAGCCUUUUUGACCCAAGUGACUGAAUCAAAGUCUGGAUCUUACCUGGUGUCAGGAAGGAUUUUGUGGAAAUACUAAAUGCCUAUAAGUGGCCUACUUAAAUUCUACACGAUGCCAAAACUAGUUAAGAGAUGGGCAUGGUUAGUCAUUUGAUGGAUGAUUAGAUUUGAAAAAUGUAAAAAUUUGGGUUUGACUGAUUGUGCCACCUUCCCACACAGUAUAUUACUGUGAUGUUUUGGUUUUCUGUAGACAUCAUUUUAGUGUUUAUAGAACCUGUUUUUGUUUAAGAAAUAAGAGAUUAUAUAUAUAUAUAUAUAUAUAUAUAUAUAUAUAUAUAUAUAUAUAUAUAUAUAUAUUUUUCCAGUUACAUCAUGAUCUGGGUUCUUUUUUUAAUGUUCUUCUCACAGCUCUAAGUGUUUUUAGUUACCUGAUUUUUUUUCUUUAACUAUAAAAAUUAAAAUAAAACAAUUUCUUUUUAUGAGUUUAAAAUUGUGGCCAGUAUCCACCCUGUGUACUUAGGCUGGUAAAUACUUAUUUUAAGUAGACAGUAUGUGGAACUUUUAAGUGAAGGUACUGUGGAUUCAUUUUUGGCAAUUUUAGCCCAUUAACUGGCUAAGUUAAAAAAAUAAACUUUCAGCAGGGUCAUAAAUAUAACCACUACUCAGAACACAUGUAUCUUCUUCUGAAUUAGUGCAGAUUCAGCCACUGGUCCAGGGACUCUCCUAGUCUUACAGUUACUGGCUCUGAUGCAUCCCCUGUAGCUCGGAAAUGACUGAACCUUGAGGUAACUGCAACCAGUAUCUGGACUCAACUGUAACAGACAACCUUGUGUUUUUCCCUUGGUCUUAUUAUAAACAAUACUACUGCACAGAUACUACGACUUAGGAAGACAGCAGUGGUGGCAUUUAGCUAGUUAUAAGCAAAUAGAAAUAUGUAAAGCAGAAUUAUGAUUAAAUGUAUGCAUUUUUAAUUAUAGUUGUAGAUAAUUUUCCUGUAUUGAUUCAAGUAAGUAACUUCUGUUAACCUAGUAUCCACUGUACUGUAAUUCAUAAUGUCACAUAAUAUAAUGCUCUCCAGUAUUGAUUAAUGUUGUAAACAGUACAAAGCUGGCACUUAUAAUAGUUUUGUAUCCUAGAAAUACAUUGAACUUCAUAAGCAUCAGUUAAUUUUUAAAGCAUACAAAAUUGAAAAUUCUGACUGAAAUCAUCUUAUAAACUCAGAAAACAAGGCCAUCUUUAUUACUACUUAAAUACUUAGCUUGAAUACUGUUCUGUUUUUUAAUAAUCCCAAUUAUUGCCUUUUAAAUGAACUCUACUGUAUUUAUUCUUAUGAGAUCAGCAGGUAUUUAUCAAACACCUACUAUGUGCCCAGCACUACAUAGUACUGUGGGGAAGUGUAAAGUUGAAAUGUGGUCUCUGCCUUUGAAGGUAUCUUCGUCAGGAAAUAAGCAGUGUUAUUUUUACUUCUAAGCAAACAUAAGCAAAAGAGAGCCCAUUUAUUUAAAAAAGCAUUAACUUCAUUUGUUUCAAUUGAGAUAUACUAUGCUAUAUAGAAGUGGAAGUAAUUUUUAAAAUUUAAAAAACAUUUCAGAAAUUAACAAUUUAAUGUUGGCAGUAGAGGGUCAUGGUUUAGUAUGAAAGAGAGCAGACAACUUGGAUUUUUGCCCAGGUUCUGCCAUUUUUAUGUCAGCUGUGUGACCUUGAAUAAGUUGCUUAUUCUUACUACAUCUUAGUUUUCUCAUUUGUUAGUUUGGAUAAAAAUGCAGUUAACAAAUACAUGGAAAAGUGUUUCUUAAUCUAUUAACACUUCAUACUUGCAGUUAAUUUAUCAUUAUUUAAGUUGCCACUGAUAAUGAAUGCACAUUUUUAUGCAUUUUAAAUUUAAACUGUUAUUACUCAUAAAAUUUGUUUUAUGUCAAAUCUAUGCCCAGAGCAUGCUACCUAAAAAACCUAGAGUCUCUAACAAGGUGCUGAAUUAAAAUUAAAAUUAGUGCUUGAAGUGAAAGAAAAGUGAAAUAGUUUAUGGAUAAGAGUGAUACUGUUAAUCCUCAAGUAAUCAUUAAGAUGACUUAAGGAAAGAUUCUUUCUGCUUGUUUCAAGAGUUGCUUUCUAUAGUAACUCCCCCAAGAGCUCCUGAAUCACCUUGCCACCCGGUACACCACUGCCAGAAGUAACUAUUGCAGUGUAUCAGCAUUUUACGAUUUCACAUGGAGACGAAGGCUUAAUAAUGUCAAUCUGAACAUUUUUCAAAAAUUCAUUUUUUUCUCAUUAAAUAUUAAGCCAGUUGCUCCCUCCAAAAAGAAAAGCUAAAGAUCACCAGCUGUUUCUGGAUGCCCUAGACCUGUAUCUAAAGCAAUCUUGAGAAGGUUGAGCAUCAGGUCAUUAGGAAAAACGUGUUACCGGUAAAUAAAGAAGACAAACGGAACCCAAAUAGGGCAGUGAUUUGCCUGGGGUCAUAGUAGACCUCUGGUACCUUGCUUCCUACCACAGCAAUGCUGUGCAGCCUCUGCUUGUCCUGGGGGUGAUGUUGAUAUGCUUGCUAGAAGCCAGAUGGAAAGAAAGGAGAAGUAAUAUACUCACUACAUUGCUGUUGGACUGAAGUAAUUUUGAUACUAUAGCCUUACUAAAAACCCUGCCCUUAUUUUUAUUUGUUCUUCAGUGAAAAUCAUGACAUAAAAGUCAAAUCUUUUAUAUCCCUUACAUUAAAUUUUUAAUAAUUAAGGUCAUUAAGAAGCAAAUGCGUAUUUCCAAAGCAAUUAGCUUAUCAUAUUUGACUGUGGUUUUACUCUUUUAUACUAUUUUUCUCCUCUUUAAUGGGUAGGGAAAAUAAUGCUCAUUUACCUGCAUUCUACCCUUGUAGAGUCUCCCUCUUACCCAUGGUGCCCUCUCUAGUGUCCUAAAGCUUUGUCUUAACAAGUGCAACAUUCAAUUUUUGUUAAAACCCUUUCAGAACUAUAUUCAGUGAUUCUUCCAGCAAGUUGAUCUGUUCUGCACUAUUUCACUAAUAAACCCUGGCUACCACGUAGCCCUUGACCUCCAAGUAGCUUACCUAUGCAAGACCUGUGACAUUCUGAACUCACGUUUCCUUAUUUCAGAAAGCAGUCCUAAGUGGAACUUAAUCAUAACAAUAAACCUUGCCUCCACCUACUUUUAUUUUGGCCAUUUCCUUUUUAAAAUGCCAGCUAUUUCCCCCCAAGGUAUUUCACCAAAACAAUGAUCAUAAGUGCUGAAAUAUAUAAUAUCUUGCAGGAAUGAAAUAACCCAGACAUACUCUUAUAUUCCUGUGGUAGUUGGUUGGUAACAGUUACCAUUAUUAAGUGGAAUACAUAGUGAGGAAUUAAUUCCUUAAUUCCUUGCCUAGAAUCAUUUCUUCCCUCAAAGAUUCAUACGUAACCUUUUAUUUUUACAAAGCAUACAUAUAACUUCCACAUUAUAGUCAGGGACCUGAGGUGUCACUUGCUAAGUGAACCCCAGGUUAUUUUAUAUUGCAAAAGAAACCUAAACCAAACUAAGGGCCUUACAUUUAUGGUUAGACUGAAUCAAAAGCUAUAACCUCAAUUUUUCCCAAAAUAGCUUCUGACUGCAAACGCGUCAUGCAGUUGUUAGGUAUGAAAUAGCACUGAUCAGGAAAUGCAUGUGCAGCUUCGCAGACUGUAUUUCCUUCCGAAAAGACUUUUCUACUUUUAAUAUAAAUUAAGCCAUAAUAGUUACAUGCUGUGGAAAGAGGGUGAAAGGUUCAUUUGAAGAGAUUAUAUAAUAUGAAUUUUCACAUUUACUGUGAAAUGUCUAACUUUUCCAGUGCUUCAGCAGGUUUGUUUGUUUUUUUGAGGGGGUAGAGGGAGGUGAUAGGGUGGGGUAGUAUUGAUUUUAGAGAUUUCAAAUCUGUGAAAUUUGAAAAGGGGACAGUUGUUGGCUAUGGUAUUUAUUAGUUUUGUAGUAAUGUUUUGCUAGCCUGACUGACUUUCCUUAACUGAUUUUUAUGCCCAUGGUCCAAGGAGACUGGUACCCUUUCUUGUUUGGGGUGUCUGCGGAGUAGUGUCUUGUCUGUUUGUAUAGGCAGUCAGUGUGUGUGCACAUGUGUGUCCUUUGAAUACAGAAGCACACUGUGUGACUACAGAGUGGGGUGUGGCUGGGAAACGGGAUGCUGAAGCUUUAAAGAGCAUUUUUUUUUUUUUACUCUUAACAGUAUUUCCCAUCUUUUGCCUGCAGGCAGGGAAAGUGUACAGUAUUUAUUUUGCUUCUGUUUUAAAUUUGUAAGUCUUUAAAUAGUUUAAUUGGUUAUUAGAGGGGAGGACAAGUGACUUGUUUAAAGUUGUAUUUGGUAUUCUUUUCAAUUUCUGUAUUUUAAAAUAUUGAAAUCAAAAUUGUAUUACUUCUGUUUUGAUUUUUUUUAGUGCUGGGUGUAUUUUUGGCUCAUUUUGUUUGAAAGUAUAAAUGUUGAAAAUUGUAUAAAAUGUGUCUUUGAAAGAAAAAAAUUGAAUUCUAUAUCCAAUUCUGGUUUUCUGUUCUUUUUUUCUGCUUAUUAAUUCAUGGGAGAAUUAUUGGAGUAUGUGAAAAACUGUAUAGGCUCCUUAGUAUUUCUGAAGAUUCAAAUGUGCAGAGUAAUGUGUCAUAUUAUUUGGUUAGAUGUAUUGCUGGGGAAGCAAUUAGUGAAAGAGAGGAAAGAAGACAAAAGGGUAAUUAGUUGGCAAGAUGAGGCUACCCUAUGGCCAUGGAUGCUGGUGCUACUGGGGGACACUUAAAAGCAUUUGUUGUCCCCAACCUGAGCACCCCAAAAUACUUCUUGAGCACCUGCAGUAUACCAGGCAUUGUCUAGCACUGGAGCUACAGGAGUGGGAUCAAGCCCCAGGCCUGCAGGAGCCUGUGAUAGAUGUGAAAGGAGGGGAGAUCAAGGGGUUGCUGUGACCCGGCUGCCUAGGGGGGUGGGAGUGCAAGUGUGAGUUCAGUGAGAUCAGUUCAUCGAGGACAUAGUGCUUUUAAGGGUGUGAGAGCCAGGUCUGGGAUGAGCUGAGCUUAACUUGGGCCCAGGAGAGGAGCCAGGACCAAAGAGGAAGGAGCACUGGGAGCAGCACUUCAGGGCAGAAGAAGAGCCUGGGAGGGGCAGGAAAUGGUAGGAGGAUCUGCUCUGGAGGAGCCUGAAUGCAGAUUGAUGGAAACCAAGGCACUGAAGGAUCCAGGCCUCGGCUCUUCCUGUAUUAAUACCUGCAAGAGAGUAGGUGGUCCAGAGUGCACCCACUUAAAGCCACCUCAACAGCUGUUACAAGAAUGGUGCCCAAAGCACGUUCACACCUCCUCUAUCUUACUGGCCUGUUUAUUCCAGCUGAUUGAAAACAGUCUGAAUAAAUCUGUUCUUUUGUAAAAGUCCA